rnacentral:rRNA from 1 species
UGUGGAAUAUUGCACAAUGGACGAAAGCCUGAUGCAGCAACGCCGCGUGGAGGAUGACACGUUUCGGUGCGUAAACUCCUUUUAUAUAAGAAGAUGAUGACGGUAUUAUAUGAAUAAGCACCGGCUAACUCCGUGCCAGCAGCCGCGGUAAUAA